AUGGCAGCAUCCCAGAAGCCAACAGAAAGGGUGGUGUCGUUGUGUACCCCGACGACGGCGGAGACCAUGCUCGUGUUCGAUAUCGCCGGGUACAGCCUGCACAAGGGCAUCGGCGCCGGCAAAUUCAUCCAGUCCAACCCCGUCUCUGUUGGCGGCUACGAGUGGUGCAUACGCUACUACCCUGACGGAGACGCAAGCAAGGAGAGCGAGGACCACGUGUCGGUCUACCUGGAGCUCCUGACCAAGGGCGCCAAGGCAAGGGUGAUCUACGACCUGAGGCUGGUCAACCAUGAAAUCGAUCUGACCACGGGGAGGUGCUGCCCGAAAUUGCCGACAGAGUUCGACUCCCUCGACGCAUCCAUCCUUGGGAGAAACAAGCAGCUCAAGAAGAAGAGAAGCGAACUAGAGAAGUCUCCAUUCCUGCGGGAUGACCACCUCAUGAUCGAGUGUGCCCUCACUGUGAUCAAGGAACCACUUGUGGAGGAGACCGUUAAAAUCCGGGUGCCACCCUCAGACUUGGCAGAUAAUCUUGGAAAAUGGCUAGAGACGAAGGAGGAAACAGAUGUGACAUUCAAUGUUAGAGGGGAGACCUUCCAUGCGCAUAAGAUCUUGCUUGCGAUGCGGUCACCGGUCUUCAAGGCCCAGCUCUAUGGACCGAUGGGAGACAGGACGGCGCGGAACAUAACCGUGGAAGAUAUGCAGCCUGAUGUUUUCAAGGACUUGCUUGACUUCAUCUACUGUGAUAAGUUGCCUUCCCUGGACAACCCCGAUAAGGAGAAUGACGAGAUGGUUAAGCAUUUACUGGUGGCUGCAGAUCGCUAUGCCAUGGAAAGGAUGAAGAUGAUAUGUGAAGCCGUUCUCUGGAAAAGUCUUACUGUCGAGACUGUCGCGUCCACGUUAGCUCUGGCUGAUCAGUAUCAUUGCAGCGGGCUCAAAGAUACUUGCAUUGAAUUUGCCAUCUCUUGUAAUAGAAUGGGUGGUGUGGUUGCAAGCCAAGGGUAUGUGCACUUGAAAAGAUCAUGCCCUGCUGUCUUAGGAGAUAUCCUGGAGAGAGUAACGAAGUCUCCCAAAGUUUAG
rnacentral:rRNA from 1 species